GACGAACGCUGGCGGCGUGCUUAACACAUGCAAGUCGAACGGAAAGGCCCUGCUUGCAGGGUACUCGAGUGGCGAACGGGUGAGUAACACGUGGGUGAUCUGCCCUGCACUUCGGGAUAAGCCUGGGAAACUGGGUCUAAUACCGGAUAGGAGCCAUUUUUAGUGUGAUGGUUGGAAAGUUUUUUCGGUGUAGGAUGAGCUCGCGGCCUAUCGGCUUGUUGGUGGGGUAAUGGCCUACCAAGGCGGCGACGGGUAGCCGGCCUGAGAGGGUGGACGGCCACAGUGGGACUGAGAUACGGCCCAGACUCCUACGGGAGGCAGCAGUGGGGAAUAUUGCACAAUGGGAGCAAGCCUGAUGCAGCGACGCCGCGUGGGGGAUGACGGCCUUCGGGUUGUAAACUCCUUUCGCUAGGGACGAAGCUUUUUGUGACGGUACCGAGAUAAGAAGCACCGGCUAACUACGUG
rnacentral:rRNA from 1 species